rnacentral:rRNA from 1 species
CACGUAGGGUGCGAGCGUUGUCCGGAAUUAUUGGGCGUAAAGGGCUCGUAGGCGGUCUGUCACGUCGGGAGUGAAAACUCGGGGCUUAACCCCGGGCCUGCUUCCGAUACGGGCAGACUAGAGGUAUGCAGGGGAGAAUGGAAUUCCUGGUGUAGCGGUGAAAUGCGCAGAUAUCAGGAGGAACACCGGUGGCGAAGGCGGUUCUCUGGGCAUUACCUGACGCUGAGGAGCGAAAGUGUGGGGAGCGAACAGG